rnacentral:rRNA from 1 species
CAGCGGAGGGAUCAUUAAAGAGUUCUAUAACUCCCAAACCCAUGUGAACAUACCUAACGUUGCCUCGGCAGGUCGCACCUACCUUGUAGCACCCUACCCUGUAGGGCCUACCCGGGAGGUGCGGGUAAGCCUGCCGGCGGCCCACCAAACUCUGUUUGAUAUUGAAUUCUGAACCUAUAACUAAAUAAGUUAAAACUUUCAACAACGGAUCUCUUGGUUCUGGCAUCGAUGAAGAACGCAGCGAAAUGCGAUAAGUAAUGUGAAUUGCAGAAUUCAGUGAAUCAUCGAAUCUUUGAACGCAUAUUGCGCCCAUUAGUAUUCUAGUGGGCAGGACCGUUCGAGCGUCAUUUCAACCCUUAAGCCUUCGUUGCUUAGUGUUGGGAGCCUACGGCAACGUAGCUCCUCAAAGUUAGUGGCGGAGUUGGUUCACACUCUAGACGUAGUAAUUUUUUAUCUCGCCUAUUAGUUGGACUAAUCCCCUGCCGUAAAACCCCCAAUUUAUCAAGGUUGACCUCGAAUCGGUUCAGACAAACUCGCUAAAUUGAAGCAUCUUAGUCAGCGAAGGAAAAGAAACCAACAGGGAUUGCCCUAGUAACGG